rnacentral:rRNA from 1 species
UGGGGAAUAUUGCACAAUGGGGGAAACCCUGAUGCAGCAACGCCGCGUGAAGGAUGAAGGUUUUCGGAUUGUAAACUUCUUUAGUCGGGGACGAAGAAAUGACGGUACCCGAAGAAUAAGCCACGGCUAACUACGUGCCAGCAGCCGCGGUAAUACGUAGGUGGCGAGCGUUGUCCGGAAUUACUGGGUGUAAAGGGCGUGUAGACGGGUAGGCAAGUCAGAUGUGAAAUUCCAGGGCGCAACCCUGGCGCUGCAUCUGAAACUGUUUAUCUUGAGUGCUGGAGAGGAAAGCGGAAUUCCUAGUGUAGCGGUGAAAUGCGUAGAUAUUAGGAGGAACACCAGUGGCGAAGGCGGCUUUCUGGACAGUAACUGACGUUGAGGCGCGAAAGCGUGGGGAGCAAACAG